UACAGAGGUCUCGAACGUUAGGCGGAAUCACUGGGCUUAAAGCGUGUGUAGGCGGAUCGUUAAGUGCCUUGUGAAAUCCCACGGCUCAACCGUGGAACUGCUUGGCAUACUGGCGGUCUUGAGCAACCUAGGGGCGAGCGGAACAAAUGGUGGAGCGGUGAAAUGCGUAGAUAUCAUUUGGAACGCCAAUGGUGAAAACAGCUCGCUGGGGGUUUGCUGACGCUGAGACACGAAAGCCAGGGGAGCAAACGGG
rnacentral:rRNA from 1 species